CCGCAAUUAAUGUCCUCGACCCGGAUGUCUUCGGCGCUCGUCGCGUCGCGUGACGGGGCCCGGCGCGAGCGUCCCGGGGCGGGGAGGUGAACGCGAGCCAUCCGAUUCGAGCGACGUUUGAAUCGCGUUGCUAAUUUGCAGCCCUCGAACGGCGGUUCGGAGCAGGAUGAGGAGGUUGAGGGAUAAUGGCGGCUUCUCGGGAGGGUUUUAUUGAAAGUGAUGAAUGCUUAGAAGAGAGGGCCGCUCCGCGUGAAUUCAUGAAUUUGAAAGAGAUUAUUUAAUCAGAGAUCAGUUUGAAAGUGCUACAGCCCAACAUUGAUGCAAAAAAUACUGAGCACGAGCAAACAAAAAAGGAAAAAAAAGGGGAAAAAAGAAAAUGACAUCGCUUUAACAGCCUAAAAAGGCCUUUUUGCUGCUGGAACAAAUUAGCUCUCCAAAUCUGAUAAUGCUGCCAUCCAGACCGGUUUCAUCAGCAUUAUCGGGGCAAGGAGGACACUACAUACGCAGUGGAGUGGAGACACUGUGCAGGCGCUGCGUGGCCUAAUCCACCCGCUGUCUGUGCGGCGGCUGCGUGGAACCGCGGAUGAGUGGGAGGAUGAAAAAACAGCCCCCGAUGUGGACACAAAGAACGCGGGAAAAAUCUGGGACAUAAAAAAAAAAAAAAAAAAAAACGGCAGGCGCGUAUUUUGCGCGAGUCAAAUGGAAUAGCGAAUGAGGAGCCGCAGCCGCCGUCCUGCAGGGGCGGGGCGCCUGUUUCUGUACGCAGCGCAUCCCGCCUGUGCCAGCGCUCAUUUACUGAUCUCAUUUAUGUCCCCGCUCGGAGGAGGAGAGAGACAGCAGCCGUGAAACAGCCUCCCCCACCGCCCCCCCCCCCCCCUCCCUUCAUCAUCCGUGUGCCUGCUCCACUGCCCCCCCCCCCCCUCCCUCUUCUCUCAUCUCCGCCUCUCUGUAGUUCAGUAAUUGGGCUCAGCUCAUUGUUAUUCAAAACCCUGUAGAACCAAUUAGCUGCAGACCUCCUGACCCUGGGUUGCUAUAUAAUGGUGCAAGCUAAAGACUCUAAGUGAGGAAGCCAAGAGCAAAGGUUUUAAAUUCCUUUAGUUCCUGAUUAAUAAUCCUGUCAGGGCGAUCAGAGACAUUAAAGAGAGACUCUGGUUCGGCUCCUGCUUUUAUGGCUUCUCCCUCAUUUCUAGGCUGUCCAUUAAAGCUUAAUGAUGCCGGGGGUCGCUCUCGCUCUCCUCUGUCUUGUCAGAUAAAUGUACAGUUAACAGGAUAAUGAGGAAUCCUCAUCCUCCAGCAAUCUGGGACAAAGCAGCCCCGUGACCCCGCCGGGACGAAGCGGGCCGGCGAGGGGCCCGGGUGGACGGCGGCGGCGGGUGGACGGAGACGCCCGGCGGCCCCGGAGGACAGACAUGAAAGAGGAAGGCUGCACGGAGGCAGAGAUGAGAGGGAUGCAGAUAACUCCUCAUGCAACAUUGAUGAGGAGGCUGAAGUAAGCCCCCCCCCCCACUCCUCCCACCUCCUCCCCCAUCUCCCUGGUGUGAAGUGGUGCAGACACACGCUCCAACCACAGACUGGGCCGAGCGAGGAGGAUCCUGAGGCGUGUGGGAAAGUCCCAGGCACCACUUCAGUCGACCGGCAGCCAACUGUUUCCCGUCCCUCCUCGGGCCUCGGGGUUGGACCGCGCUGUCAAGACCGCAUCCGUGACAUCCUGCAUGCUGCAGUAUGAAUGGAUCCCCGCUCCGGGUGGCGUCUCCACAGCGCUGCUGGGACCCCCCGUGGACACGCUCCUCCGCCGGAGCAGCGAACGCCUUAUGAGCAGCGCGGAGGUGGAUCAAAACACGCGAGCUCGCUCCGACGGCUCCGCUGUUGUGUUCCAACACAACGGUAUCAGUGCAACCCGCUCUCCUCCUCUCCUCCUGCAGACUGGCAGGAGGUCAGCGUCAGGCCGAUCCCCGGCCGCCCCACAAGGAGCUGCUGUCAACAAGCAACGCGCAUAGUCGCAACACCGGGGGCAACACAGUGGCACGCUGAGGUCGGGGGAAAUCACUCAAGCCAGCGCUGACCCCGCAGCCCGGCUGGAGGAGACGGGGGCGUCACGGUUGGGGCCUCCUAACGAGAUGCUGCGGCUCCUGGUCCGUUGUCACGCGUGGAGCUUCCUCUGUUCAUUAACACCAACUGGUCUGAAUGAAUUCACAGGGAGCUAAAAAAUAAAGCUUUCGCUCGAAAGUCA